UGGUCUUGACAUAGAAAGAACUUUCCAGAGAUGGAUUGGUGCCUGCUUGCAGGAGCUUUCAUACAGGUGCUGCACGGCUGUCGUCAGCUCGUGUCGUGAGAUGUUGGGUUAAGUCCCGCAACGAGCGCAACCCUCGUCGUUAGUUGCUAACAGUUCGGCUGAGAACUCUAACGAGACUGCCUACGCAAGUAGGAGGAAGGUGAGGACGACGUCAAGUCAUCAUGGCCCUUACGACCAGGGCUACACACGUGCUACAAUGGGGUAUACAAAGAGCAGCAAUACGGUGACGUGGAGCGAAUCUCAAAAAUGCCUCCCAGUUCGGAUUGUAGUCUGCAACUCGACUACAUGAAGUUGGAAUCGCUAGUAAUCGUAGAUCAGCUAUGCUACGGUGAAUACG
rnacentral:rRNA from 1 species